AAAAGUGCAAUUUGUUCAUCAACUUUAGAAUUAUUUUCACUUUUGCUCCCAUGACUAAUAGGUCACUUCUACAUUUGAUCCUCAAGUAUUAAUUUUGCCACAUUUGGUAGAAACCAGUCAAAAUUCAUCACAUUUCUAGUUCAAAACCAUAACAGCUUCAACGCUUUGACACUUUUGGGGAGAAACUAUAUGGUUUUGAAUUGGAAACAUGAUGUAAAUAUGUAAUCGGGUUUUCUACUAGAGGUUUGGUUGGAAAGACCAAAUGUGGGUUAUGUGGCAAAAAUAAUGCUUGGGGAUCAAGUUUGAUGGCAACCUAAGAGUCAUGCGAUAAAAAAUGGAAACAAUUCAUGAACUUAUGUAUGUUGCUCUGAAUAAGGUUCUUCUAGUUAUUUCUUAGGCUUUGGUUAUUGGACGCGAAUGAUUGUUUUUGUACUAGUGUACCCUGAAGCUGAUAAAGCUGAUUCCCCCUUAGCAUGUGGAUUGGGAUUGGGAACAAAAACUAACCUUAAACCUCCGUAUAUCUUCUUAUUAUCUUGUUUAUAUGCAGAAAAUUUUGGAUUAGUUUGUGAGAUCCUCUAAUUUGUUUCUAAUCUGAUAUGAUCUGCACUGCAGAAUGCAUUCCAAGUUGCUUUCUUUUUCUGGAGCUGGUUAAGUUUGGUUUACCUCCUUGCUUCCACAAGAAUGCUGCAGACAUAGCCAUCAGGCUAUCAAUGGGAUGUAAUUGAGAGGCUUAAUGUUUUGAGGGGCAGAGGCAUGGCUUCAAUGUACUCUUGGUCUUGCAAGAGGACAUUUUUCUUGCUUUGAGCAUGAGGAUAUUUUAUGUGGUUGAUAAAGGUUAUCACAAUAUUACAUCUUAAGUAAUUUAUUUUAAUUGUUAACAUUUAGAAUUUGUAGUUUAUUUGUAGUAAAAUGUUAUUAGAAUUGAAAUUUUAGAUUGGUGUGUUUUAGUUGAUA